UACAGAGGUCUCAAGCGUUGUUCGGAUUCACUGGGUUUAAAGGGUGCGUAGGUGGGUUGGUAAGUCAGUGGUGAAAUCCCCGAGCUUAACUUGGGAACUGCCAUUGAUACUAUCAGUCUUGAAUACCGUGGAGGUCAGUGGAAUAUGUCAUGUAGCGGUGAAAUGCUUAGAUAUGACAUAGAACACCAAUUGCGAAGGCAGCUGGCUACACGAAUAUUGACACUGAGGCACGAAAGCGUGGGGAUCAAACAGG
rnacentral:rRNA from 1 species